AUACGGAGGGUGCAAGCGUUACUCGGAAUCACUGGGCGUAAAGCGCGCGCAGGCGGCUAUUUAAGUUGGAUGUGAAAGCCUACGGCUCAACCGUAGAACUGCAUCCAAAACUAUUUAGCUAGAGUGUGGGAGAGGAAGAUGGAAUUAGUUGUGUAGGGGUAAAAUCCGUAGAGAUAACUAGGAAUACCAAAAGCGAAGGCAAUCUUCUGGAACACUACUGACGCUGAGGCGCGAAAGCGUGGGUAGCAAACAGGAUUAGAAACCCCAGUAGUCC
rnacentral:rRNA from 1 species